rnacentral:lncRNA from 1 species
AUGGAAUUCCAGACAUUCCAGGAUUUUUCUAUGGGAUUCCAGAACCUUCCACAGGGAUCCACAACUUUUAACGGAAUUCCAGAACUUUCCAGGGGGAUCCAGAAAUUCCAGAACUUUCCGUGGAAUUCCAGAAUUUUCCACAGGGAUCCAGAAAUUCCAGAACUUUCUAUGGAAUUCCAGAACUUUCCAUGGAAUUCCAGAACCUUCCAGGUGCUUCCACAGGGAUCCAGAACUUUCCAUGGAAUUCCAGAACUUUCCAUGGAGAUCCAGAAAUUCCAGAACUUUCCAUGGAAUUCCAGAACUUUCCAGGUGCUUCCACAGGGAUCCAGAACUUUCCACGGAGAUCCAGAAAUUCCAGAACCUUCCAUGGAAUUCCAGAACUUUCCACGGAGAUGCAGGAAUUCCAGAACUUUCCAUGGGAUUCCAGAACUUUCCAUGGGAUUCCAGAACUUUCCAUGGGAUUCCAGAAACUUCCAGGUGCUUCCACAGGGAUCCAGAACCUUCCAUGGACUUCCAGAACUUUCCACAGAGAUCCAGAAUUUCCAGAACUUUCCGUGGAAUUCCAGAACCUUCUAUGGGAAUUUCAGAACUUCCAGAAUCUUCCAUGGGAUUCCAGAACUUUCCAGGCGCUUCCACAGGGAUCCAGAAGUUUCUUAUGGAAUUAUGGGGAAUUCCAGAACUUCCAGAACUUUCCGUGGAAUUCCAGAACUUUCCACAGGGAUCCAGAAAUUUCCAGAACUUUCCAUGGAGUUCCAGAACCUUCCAGGUGCUUCCACAGGGAUCCAGAACCUUCCACAGGGAUCCAAAAAUUCCAGAACUUUCCAUGGAAUUCCAGAACUUUCCAUGGAAUUCCAGAACUUUCCACAGGGAUCCAGAACCUUCCGUGGAAUUCCAGAAGCUUCCCGAGGGUCCCAGGCCCCACCCCCAGCCCCAGAAUUCCCAGAAUUCCCUCGGGAAAAGGGGGAGGGGCCCCCCCAAGGCAAUAAGAGCCCCUCCCCCCUCGUUAGGGGAGGGCUCCAAUCUUUCAUUAAUAAUAAUGAAUGA